GCUGGGGAAUCAGGAGCAAUGUUAAUGAAUGAAAGAAAAGAAUGCCAGAAACAGAGAACCACAGGCUGACAUCAAAGAAAUGACCUCCAGCCAUAUGAUUCUCCAGGGCAAGGGCUUUUGUCUGUAAGCGAGCACUCAGUUACCGGAAAUAGACAUGCAGCACACCUGGAAAUGGACCAAAAUAUCCAGGAGGCAAAUGCUUCCAGAAGGGGAAGGCUCCUGGGCUCCUGCUCCAUUCUUUACUGCUUGAGGACGACAUGGCUGUGCCUCCCCUUCAGUUUGGUGGAGAGGCCUGCAAAGGACCAUGAAAUGACACCCCUGGCCUUCCUUCACCAGGCUCUUCACAGCACCACACACCAGGGCCCCACCCAACACAACCCUGAGACUCCAGGAGUAAAACAAAAGCCUACGAAGAGCCCUUGUUUUGGCAAAACGGUGGACAUAUCAAAUCCCGACUCUGCACAUUCCUCAGUAUCCGCAGCUGUGAUGUGGGCAGAUGGUCAACGUAUGGGGAAGACCUGAGGAGGAAGAGAAUUUCCAGUGUAUUUACAGUAACUAAAACGGCUCUCCAGGCACACUCCUGCCCUGUAAAAUUGUAACAGCUACACAGGGAGGCUCAUCUGGGUCAUCGAGGCAGUGGGCUCUCCCGGACC
rnacentral:lncRNA from 12 species